rnacentral:lncRNA from 1 species
UAAAUGGAGAACACUGUGGGCAGAACAGAUUCUGGGGAGCAAUAUCAAGAGUUAAGUUUGAAGCAUGUUCAAUUUGAGAUGUCAGUGAAAGAAGGUGGGGAGAGGUCUGAGCCAGAAAUAGAAAUGUAACUGAACUCAAGAAUAUCUCAUUGUAUGACUAUAACAUGUUUUGUUUAUUCAUAUACCUGUUGAUGAAUAUUAGUUGUUUUCAUCUUUGGGGCAUUAUGAAUAAAAUCAAUCAAGUUACAUUCAAUGAAAUGUAGGGAGGUCCAUAUAGCUGGAUUUUUUAGAACAAGGGAGGAAGUAGCGAGAGUGAAAGACUUUG